GAGCACGCGCGUGUGGCAUAUCAAUAAGCGGAGGAAAAGAAACUAACAAGGAUUCCCUUAGUAACGGCGAGUGAAGCGGGAAGAGCUCAAAUUUGAAAUCUUCAAGGUUCUACCUUGACGAAUUGUAGUUUAUAGAAGUGUUUUCUGUUAGUGGAGUGGUAAAAGUUCUUUGGAAUAGGACAUCAUAGAGGGUGAGAAUCCCGUAUUUGGUCAUUCCUCCUAGCGUUGUGAUACACUUUCAACGAGUCGGAUUGUUUGGGAAUGCAGUCCAAAAUGGGUGGUAAAUUUCAUCUAAGGCUAAAUAUUGGCGAGAGACCGAUAGCGAACAAGUACCGUGAGGGAAAGAUGAAAAGAACUUUGAAAAGAGAGUUAAACAGUACGUGAAAUUGUCAAAAGGGAAGCGUUUGACACCAGUGUUGUUUUUUCCGAAAAUCAAUUACGAAUGUUUUGUUUUUGAGGAGUUAUGACUUCAUCGGCUUGCUCCUUUCUUUACGAAACUUUCUUAAUGCACUUUUCGGUUAACAAGUCAACAUCAAUUUCUUUUGUUGUAAAAGGGUAUGAGGAAGGUGGCUUUCUUUUCGGAGAAAGUGUUUAUAGCCUUGUAGCCUCUGCAAGUCGGAGAGAUUGAGGUCUGCAGCGUAGAUCCUUCGGGGUUAGAUACAGUUUGUGCUAAGUUAUAGCUUUUCAUAGACAACUUGUUGACUAUGUUUAGUCUUGUAGCUUACUCGCUGACGCUAUUUUACCUACGCUUAGGAUGUUGAGUAGCGACAUACGCAC
rnacentral:rRNA from 1 species